rnacentral:rRNA from 1 species
UGUGGCAGCGUUGUCCUGGCAUUAUUGGGCGUAAGCGCGCGCAGGCGGUUUUCUUUAGUCCAGAAGAUGAAGCCCCCGGCACAACCGGGGAGGGUCUUCGGAGUUCGGGGAACCCGAGCGCAGAAGUGGAAGCGGAGCUCCACGUGUAGCGGUGAAAUUGCGUAGAGAAUGUGGAGGAACACCAGUGGCGAAGGCGACUUCUCUGGUCUGUAACUUGACGCUUGAGGCGCGAAAGCGUGGGGAGCGAACAGGAUUAGAUACCCUUGGUAGUCCACGCCGUAAACGAUGAGUGCUAAGUGUUAGAGGGUCUCCGCCCUUUUAGUGCUGCAGCAAACGCAUUUAAGCACUCCGCCUGGGGAGUACGGUCGCAAGACUGAAACUCAAAGGAAUUUGACGGGGGCCCGCACAAGCGGUGGAGCAUGUGGUAUAUUUCGAAGCAACGCGAAGAACCUUUACCAGGUCUUGACAUCCUCUGACAACCCUAGAGAUACGGCUUUCCCCUAUCGGGGCAGAGUGACAGUGGUGCAUGGUUGUCGUCAGCUCGUGUCGUGAGAUGUUGGGUUAAGUCCCGCAACGAGCGCAACCCUUGAUCUUAGUUGCCAGCAUUCAGUUGGGCACUCUAGUGACUGCCGUGACAACC